GACGAACGCUGGCGGCGUGCCUAAUACAUGCAAGUAGAACGCUGAAGGAGGAGCUUGCUUCUCUGGAUGAUUUGCGAACGGGUGAGUAACGCGUAGGUAACCUGCCUGGUAGCGGGGGAUAACUAUUGGAAACGAUAGCUAAUACCGCAUAAGAGUAGAUGUUGCAUGACAUUUGCUUAAAAGGUGCAAUUGCAUCACUACCAGAUGGACCUGCGUUGUAUUAGCUAGUUGGUGGGGUAACGGCUUACCAAGGCGACGAUACAUAGCCGACCUGAGAGGGGGGUCGGCCACACCGGGACUGAGACACGGCCCAGACUCCUACGGGAGGCAGCAGUAGGGAAUCUUCGGCAAUUGACGGAAGUCUGGCCGAGCCAAGGCGCGGGAGUGAAGAAGGGUUUCGGAUCGUAAAGCUCUGUUGUAAGAGAAGAACGAGUGUGAGAGUGGAAAGUUCACACUGUGACGGUAUCUUACCAGAAAGGGACGGCUAACUACGUG
rnacentral:rRNA from 1 species